UGGGGCGGGCGCAUGAUCGCUCCGGCCCGCGGCCGGGGAGGAAAGUCCGAACACCACAGGGCACGGUGGUUCGUAACGCGAACUCCGGGUAACCGGGGGAAAGUGCCACAGAAAAUACACCGCCGAUGAGCCGCUUCCGGGCGGAAACAGGCAAGGUUGAAAUGGCGAGGUAAGAGCUCACCGCUUCCAUGGUGACAUGGAAGGCAGGGUAAACCCCACCGGGUGCAAGACCAAAUAGGGAAACGCUUGAAGGCUGCCCGCCUGAUGUUUCCGGGUAGGUUGCACGAGAUGCCGGGCGACCGGCAUCCCAGAUAAAUGAUCAUGGUCUGCGUAUGCGGAAACAGAAUUCGGCUUACAGCCCGCCCCAUUUU
rnacentral:RNase_P_RNA from 1 species